rnacentral:rRNA from 1 species
ACGCUCGACACCUACGGGAGUCAGCAGUAGGGAAUCUUCCACAAUGGACGCAAGUCUGAUGGAGCAACGCCGCGUGAGUGAAGAAGGUCUUCGGAUCGUAAAACUCUGUUGUUAGAGAAGAACACGAGUGAGAGUAACUGUUCAUUCGAUGACGGUAUCUAACCAGCAAGUCACGGCUAACUACGUGCAAGCAGCCGCGGUAAUCUGAGCGGGCUGGCAAGGC